rnacentral:RNase_P_RNA from 2 species
AUGUUCAGGUAAUCGCUGCAGCAUUCGUUGCUGCAGAGGAAAGUCCAUGCUCGCACAGUGCUGAGAUGCCUGUAGUGAUCGUGCCUAACGAAAUAAUAAGUUAGGGCAAUUUGGCUUUUUGGCUGAAUUGACGGCGGGAAAAAACGCCUAAGUCUUUUAAGAUAUGGCCGAGUAUCCCUGAAAGUGCCACAGUGACGAAGCUUAUUGGGAAACCAAUAAGAUGGAACGCGGUAAACCCCACGAGCGAGAAACCCAAAAUUAUUGGUAGGGGAAUCUUCCUGAAGGAAUCUAAACGGAUGGAAGGACAGAGCUUUUGCUCUGUAGAUAGAUGAUUACCACCUGAGUACGAGGUUAAAACUGCUUGAGUACAAAGGAACAAAACAUGGCUUAUCGAA